rnacentral:rRNA from 1 species
UAAGGAUGAACGCUGGCGGCAUGCCUAACACAUGCAAGUCGUACGCGAUCACUUUUUUCGCUCGCAGGUGCUGAAUAGCAAUAUUCUGCCAUUGCGAGCGGAAUGAAUGAGUGAUUGAGUGGCGGACGGGUGAGUAACACGUUGGUACCUGCCCUAGAGUGGGGAAUAAUUCACCGAAAGGUGGACUAAUACCCCAUAGUCUUAUGCUUGUCAUAAGUAAAGCUUCGGCGCUCUAGGAGGGGCCUGCGUUUGAUUAGCUAGUUGGCGGGGUAAAGGCCCACCAAGGCGACGAUCAAUAGCUGGAUCGAGAGGUUGACCAGCCACACUGGGACUGAGAUACGGCCCAGACUCCUACGGGAGGCAGCAGUGAGGAAUCUUCCACAAUGGGCGCAAGCCUGAUGGAGCAAUGCCGCGUGCAGGAAGACGCUUUUCGGAGUGUAAACUGCUUUUCUGAAGGAAGAUUAUGACGGUACUUCAGGAAUAAGGAUCGGCUAACUACGUGCCAGCAGCCGCGGUAAUACGUAGGAUCCAAGCGUUAUCCGGAAUUACUGGGCGUAAAGCGUGCGCAGACGGUUUGGUAGGUCUGGUGCGAAAUCCGGUGGCUCAACCACCUGGACUGUACCAGAAACCCCCUGACUCGAGGUCGGUAGAGGCAAGUGGAAUUGCUGGUGUAGGGGUGACAUCCGUAGAUAUCAGCAGGAACACCAAUGGCGAAGGCAGCUUGCUGGGCCGUACCUGACGUUCAGGCACGAAAGCGUG